CCUACGGGUGGCAGCAGUGAGGAAUAUUGGUCAAUGGACGAGAGUCUGAACCAGCCAAGUAGCGUGAAGGAUGACUGCCCUAUGGGUUGUAAACUUCUUUUAUAGAGGAAUAACACGAGGCACGUGUGCCUUUUUGCAUGUACUUUAUGAAUAAGGAUCGGCUAACUCCGUGCCAGCAGCCGCGGUAAUACGGAGGAUCCGAGCGUUAUCCGGAUUGAUUGGGUUUAAAGGGAGCGUAGAUGGGUUGUUAAGUCAGGUGUGAAAGUUUGCGGCUCAACCGGAAAAUUGCAAUUGAUACUGGCAGGCUUGAGUACAGUUGAGGUAGGCGGAAUUCGUGGUGUAGCGGUGAAAUGCUUAGAUAUCACGAAGAACCCCGACUGCGAAGGCAGCUUACUAAACUGUGACUGACAUUGAGGCUCGAAAGUGUGGGUAUCAAACAGGAUUAGAUACCCCUGUAGUC
rnacentral:rRNA from 1 species